GUGAUGAGUCGCUCCACCGCGGCGCCGGGGCUUUACGCCGGCGACGAGGAAAGUCCGGGCAACGCAGAGCACCCUGCUUCCUAACGGGAAGGACUGGCGCAAGCCAGGACAGCCAGUGCCACAGAAAAUAACCGCCAGGUGGUGAGUUAGUGAUUUAGCGACUUAGUGAGUUGUCGUUCCGGCACUCACUAAAUCACUAAGUCGCUAAAUCACCUUUGGUAAGGGUGAAAAGGUGCGGUAAGAGCGCACCAGCGGCUGGGUGACCAGGCCGGCUGGGUAAACCUCAGGGGUUGAAAGACCAAAUAAGCGGAUACGUCCGGGGGCAACUCCGGGCACCGGGCGGCUCGUCCGGCAUCCGUGGGUAGGUUGAUGGAGCCUUUCCGCGAGGACUGGCCUAGAUAAAUGGUGGAGGCGCUUCCCCUCGGGGCGGCGUACAAAACCCGGCUUACAGACUCAUCAUGCGU
rnacentral:RNase_P_RNA from 2 species